CCUACGGGGGGCAGCAGUGGGGGAUAUUGCACAAUGGGGGGAACCCUGAUGCAGCGACGCCGCGUGGGUGAAGAAGCGCCUCGGCGCGUAAAGCCCUGUCAGCAGGGAAGAAAAUGACGGUACCUGAAGAAGAAGCCCCGGCUAACUACGUGCCAGCAGCCGCGGUAAUACGUAGGGGGCAAGCGUUAUCCGGAUUUACUGGGCGUAAAGGGGGCGCAGACGGCGAUGCAAGCCAGAAGUGAAAGCCCGGGGCUCAACCCUGGGACUGCUCUUGGAACUGCGUGGCUGGAGUGCAGGAGGGGCAGGCGGAAUUCCUGGUGUAGCGGUGAAAUGCGUAGAUAUCAGGAGGAACACCGGUGGCGAAGGCGGCCUGCUGGACUGCAACUGACGUUGAGGCCCGAAAGCGUGGGGAGCAAACAGGAUUAGAUACCCGGGUAGUC
rnacentral:rRNA from 1 species